GGGAGGGGGUGAUUGUUGCGGAAUUCUGUGGAUUUGGGUGGGGUGAGGAAUAUAAAUAUUUGUUCCAAGCAGAUAUUGCCAAAACCAACUUCAUAAAGUUGAUGUGUUAGUGAAAAAUAGGCCUUUAUACACUGUUCACUUCUUCCUGAACAGUGAAGGCUUGUCUGCUAAGAUUGCUGGGGAGCUAGUUAACUUGCAUUGUAGACUUGUAGUGUUGAAACUGGACACUGGGAAAGAAUUCAUCAAUUUGAGUAAUCCGGAAUAUUUAUGGUGCAA